rnacentral:rRNA from 1 species
AUUGAACGCUGGCGGCGCGCUUAACACAUGCAAGUCGAACGGUAGCAGCUCCUGCUUGCAGGAGGCUGACGAGUGGCGGACGGGUGAGUAACGCGUAGGAAUUUCCCCUAUAGUUCGGGACAACUUGAGGAAACUUGAGCUAAUACCGGAUGUGUACUGAGGUAUAAAGGUUGCUUUCGGGCAGUCGCUAUAGGAUGAGCCUGCGUUGGAUUAGCUAGUUGGUGGGGUAAAGGCCUACCAAGGCGAUGAUCCAUAGCUGUUCUGAGAGGAAGAUCAGCCACACUGGGACUGAGACACGGCCCAG